GGGGGUGGUGAGGCCCUGGCUCUGACGUUCACCCAGGAAGGCCAGAACCCCAGGGGACAGCAGCAUCCAUGUCAAUAGUGUUCCCAACCGCUCCCAGCCCAGCUUGGCCAGGGGGCGCCCUUCUCACCGUCAGGGCCCCUUUCUGCAAGUGCUUUUGUUUGGGUGUCUCUCAACCCGUUUGACCCACACGGAGAGGACCUGUGAGCCUUUCAGCACCAGGAGGCCCUUUGCCUCCCAUUCCUGGCAGGCCCCACCUGCUGGCCACAUGGGAUGUAGGACAUCAGUGUCCCCACUCAGGGGAGGGAGUGGAGGACAGCCUCCCUGCCAAGUGAGCAGAGCACCCAGACUCUCCCUCGGCGUGCAUGGCAGAGCAUCGACGCCAGAAGAGGAGCGAGGAAAAGACCAAAGAAGGAUAAUCGCUGGGCUUGAACAUCAAGGCUGAAGAUUGUGAUGCUCUUUUGGAAGAACGCUAUUUCAGAUGGGGUCUCUGGCUACUGACCAACCAAACCAUCCUGGUUUGUUGCUUCUAGAGUUCAGGAACCACCAGCAGCCUCCCCACCCCACUCCCUCUGCUCCAGACCCCGAGGCUCUUCCCAAGCAUGGUGAGGGUUCUGUUUGGACACCAUCUGCUCUGGAAGCCCAGGGGCUUGACUGGGCUCAUUUGCUGCUCCUGCCAUUUAGUGGCUCCCUAUGCACCCUUGGGUGUGGCUAAUCUAAUCUCUUAAACCUCAGUUUCCUCCUGGAAUUCUCCUGGGUGGUUGAGAGGAUUAAAGGAGAGGGUGCAAGGAAAGUGUUACCAGCAUAAGGCAGAGCUCAAAAUGGGGCAGUGACUUGUUAUUAUUACAGGACACCUGUACCUGAGACCUGGGCAGAUGAUUGAUGAGCAUUAACCUCCUCCGGUUCCGAAGUUUUAGCUUUGUUAGCACCUGCCUGAAUAGGGGUGCCUGCUGGUUUUGACAACGGGCCCUCAAGUCUCGAUGUGGGAUAGACGACCCCAGGGAAGACCAGAACGAGGUCACGCGUGGAGCCGGCCCUGAAGCUGACGUAUUCUUUCACAUGACACAGGCCAAAGAACCAAAAAAAGGCCAGAUGCGUGAGCUCAGUGCCUCCAAUCCUCUGGGGCUCUGCAGGGGCCACUUUUGCUGUAAGUCAUUUUUCCACGGCCCCUACACUCCCUCAACAAUCAAAAU